AAGUCGUAACAAGGUUUCCGUAGGUGAACCUGCGGAAGGAUCAUUAACGAAUAUCUAUGGCGUUGGUUGUAGCUGGCUCCUAGGAGUAUUGUGCACGCCCGUCAUUCAUAUCAUCUUUCCACCUGUGAACCAUGUGUAGGCCUGGAUACCCCUCGCUUUGGCAACAAAGCGGAUGCAAGGAUUGCUGCGUCGACAAGGCCGGCUCUCUUUGAACUUCCAGGUUCUAUGUCUUUUACACACCCCAUUGAAUGAUUUAGAAUGUAGUCAAUGGGCUUUCAUGCCUAUAAAAAACUAUACAACUUUCAGCAACGGAUCUCUUGGCUCUC
rnacentral:misc_RNA from 1 species